rnacentral:rRNA from 1 species
AGUGAACGCUGGCGGCGUGCUUAACACAUGCAAGUCGAACGAGAACGGGUUAUAGCUUGCUAUAAUUGUCAGCUAAGUGGCGCACGGGUGAGUAAUGUAUAGGUAAUAUGCCUCUUACUAAGGGAUAACAAAUGGAAACGUUUGCUAAUACCUUAUACUCCUUAUUAACAUAAGUUAAUAAGGGAAAGAUUUAUUGGUAAGAGAUUAGCCUGUAUUGUAUCAGUUAGUUGGUGGGGUAAUGGCUUACCAAGACUAUGACACAUAACUGGUUUGAGAGGAUGAUCAGUCACACUGGUACUGAGACACGGUCCAGACUCCUACGGGAGGCAGCAGUGGGGAAUAUUGCACAAUGGACGAAAGUCUGAUGCAGCAACGCCGCGUGGAGGAUGACACAUUUCGGUGCGUAAACUCCUUUUAUAUGAGAAGAUAAUGACGGUAUUAUAUGAAUAAGCACCGGCUAACUCCGUGCCAGCCGCCGCUGUAAUAC